AGACACUGUAGACUCUCGACCAAUCGGAAGGCCGAACUGUCUACAGUCUACAGCGGCCAUUGCACGGCGCCCGGCUCACGUCUGCGAAUUCCCCAAAUGUGGGAAUCUCGACUGCAUCAUUUCUGGUAGUGGGGGACUGCGUUCGCGCUCUCCCCGA
ensembl:snRNA U1 U1 spliceosomal RNA